rnacentral:rRNA from 1 species
CAGUCGAACGGCAGCACAGGAGAGCUUGCUCUCUGGGUGGCGAGUGGCGGACGGGUGAGGAAUACAUCGGAAUCUACCUUUUCGUGGGGGAUAACGUAGGGAAACUUACGCUAAUACCGCCUAUGACCUUCGGGUGAAAGCCGGGGACCUUCGGGCCUGGCGCGGAUAGAUGAGCCGAUGUCGGAUUAGCUUGUUGGCGGGGUAAAAGCCCACCAAGGCGACGAUCCGUAGCUGGUCUGAGAGGAUGAUCAGCCACACUGGAACUGAGACACGGUCCAGACUCCUACGGGAGGCAGCAGUGGGGAAUAUUGGACAAUGGGCGCAAGCCUGAUCCAGCCAUACCGCGUGGGUGAAGAAGGCCUUCGGGUUGUAAAGCCCUUUUGUUGGGAAAGAAAUCCUGCCGGUUAAUAACCAGCAGGGAUGACGGUACCCAAAGAAUAAGCACCGGCUAACUUCGUGCCAGCAGCCGCG